UAUUACUUUAACCUAUACACGAGUUAUAGGCAUUGAUUGUCGUUCAUAUUUCAUUCUCAGAGAGAACCAGUGACAACAGGAGUGUGAUAUCUUGACUUGUGAGUGAAUUAGAUUCAAGUGAGACAGAACUGUGCAAAGUCUUCAGCUCCACUCUCUGCUCCAGAGUUGUCAGAGUCCAGGGCAAGAGACAGGUCAGCACCGCUGGAGGUGGCCCCAGCUGCAGUGGGAAACCCUCAGAAUUUCCAGCCGGAAUCGAAGGUGCCCAGCUAUGCUCUGGAAAAGAGAGAAAAAGGAGGAAGAGGUUAAAAAUGAGAUUGAAGCCUCCCUUAAAAGGUGAAUACAUUGGGAUCCCACUGACCUUUGGCACCCUGCCUGCUGACUGGUGAGCAUCCAAUUCUCUGAACUGAACACUAGGAGAAUCCAAUCCACUAGAUGGUGGUAGUGUUGCCAGGGGAUAACACACAUCCUUCAUAAAAACAUAAUCAAACCCACAAAAAGGCUUAACAACAUGUUCACACAAGUUGAGUAAGGUAACUGACAUGUAUAUAGAGUUUCAAAUC
rnacentral:lncRNA from 1 species